UUGUGGAGGAGGACGCCGAAGGUGGGGCUAAUGACUGGGGUGAAGUCGUAACAAGGUAGCCGUACCGGAAGGUGCGGCUGGAUCACCUCCUAACAGGGAGACAACAAAAUGUUUAAUAUUAUUAUUUUGUCACCUUAGGUCGAUCGGUAUCUCACGUUCUUAAUUCGUUAAGAAUUUCAUUUCCUAAGUUUUUCUAGGUCACACCCAUUAUUUUUCCUGGGCCAUUAGCUCAGGUGGUUAGAGCGCACCCCUGAUAAGGGUGAGGUCCCUGGUUCAAGUCCAGGAUGGCCCAUAUCUCUAUGUUGGGGGUAUAGCUCAGUUGGUAGAGCGCCUGCUUUGCAAGCAGGAUGUCAGCGGUUCGAGUCCGCUUACCCCCACUGAUUACCACCUCUUCCAUAACCGAUAGAAAGGAAAUGUUUUGAGUUGUGAUCAUUAUUCUGAACGAAUCUAGCUUCCUAAUGAAAUCAUUAAGAUGCUGGACUCAUUGAAUUAAUUUUCAUUGUUUUCAGAGAACCUUGACAACUGCAUAGAUUAUUUUUAAAGACAAUAAGCAUCUUUAAUGAUGCAGAUUUAUUAUUUGUGCGAAUGCAUUAAUAACAAUUCUAUUAAGCUGAUGCUUCAAUUUUGAAGUUAUUGGUCAAGCUACAA
rnacentral:misc_RNA from 1 species